rnacentral:sRNA from 1 species
UGAGCUUCGUCAUGGCUUCGGCCUAGUU